AUUCGUGAGGCAGAGGAAUAAAAACAGUAAAAAAAAAGGUAACAGUAAAUGUAAUUUCCCUCCCUCUAAUUGGCCAGUCGACACACUGAGUCAAAGACCGAGUCACCUCAUCAUAGUUUUCUUCAUCCUUUCUCAAUACGCCGAAAGAAAGACGCAAUCGUUUUUAACUCAAAAGAGAUGAACGCCGCCGUUAGAGCUGCGAUCCUCAGAACAGAGAGCGUAUCUUCUCACCUGAAAGCUGCCUUCUUUCAUUCCACCCCCGUCUUGGAGCGCAAACGUCGCACUUCCUGGGAUUCGAAAUCAAAUGUUCACAGGAAGAGGUUCAGGAGGAUGAGAGAGAGCAAGAGUUGUUGCGUAAUGUGAAUGCUUUCGCGGCAAACAUGUUUACGAGCUGGCAUGAUGAGUUUGAUUAUAGUGAGCCUUCCUCAAAGAAGCGAACCUCUUGGUUUAAAAAACAGUACGCCAAGGAACCUAAAGGAAAAUCGAAUGGCAAACACAACUCCCAGAGUUGGGGUCCAAGGAACUUUGAUUUUUGCGAAGUAGAUGAGGACUUUGACAUUGAUUAUAUAUUCCCUGGUGGACCCGAGGUUUCUCUUUUUCAUUCACCUUUGAAGAUGAUGAACCUCCUCGAUGGCAUCAUUCAUCUAGGUUUUCCAACAACUCUAAUAAGAGGUCUUCGAGAUCGAAACAUCAUCGAAUAUAUGAAGAUGAAGAAAAUGAUGACUAUACUUCAGCAGAAUCAAGUGACUCUGAGUCUGACUCUGAGCCAAACCAAGCUUCUCAUAGACAAGCACUUGGCCUGAGUCCUUCUGGUCCUUUAAACCUCAAAGACGUCAAACACGCGUACCGAGUUUGUGCAUUAAAAUGGCAUCCGGAUCGUCAUCAAGGCUGCUCCACCAAGGAGGCGGCUGAAGCAAAGUUCAAGCUAUGCAGUGUGGCUUAUCAGUCUUUAUGCGAGAAGCUAUCACUGAACUAAUGUUUUCAAGUUACUACAGUACUACAGAAUCCAAGCGAAACCUUUGUUUCUGUCACUUUUAUUAUUUAAAGGUUACAGCUACACCGGCCCAUUAGCCCAAUUACACCGGCCCGUUAGGCCCAUUACAGCGGCCCAAUUGUUGAUUAUCAUUUAUGGAAAGUUCUUGGUGAUCAAGCAAAAAACUUUUUGAGUAAACAUUCCAUUCUCUGUUUUUAAUUUUACCUAAAAGAAAAAUGGAAAAUAUACUAUUCGUUUUUUUCUUC